ACCUGGGUGGCUCAGUUGGUUAAGCGUCUGACUUCGGGUCAGUUGGAAACGUUUCCUGGGUUCAAGCCCCACCUCGGGCU
rnacentral:tRNA from 1 species